AUGGCGACGUCGACUCCGGCGCCGUGGUCAGAACUCCCGCAAGACAUACUAGACCUCAUCAUCGACCGCCUCGUAUCCUCCCCUCCACGGGGAGGCUUCUUCUCCUCGGCGUGGUCGCUAGUCCAAGGGCUCCUUGGUUCCUCCGCUAAACCCGCUGACUUCAAUAAGGCGCGACGCGACCGUCAUUGGGUCUCCGCCGAUCGAGCUCGCUUCCGUGCGGUGUGCCGUUCGUGGCAUCUGGCUAUGCGCCGGCACAUUUCGGCUUCACGGCAGCUUCCCUGGAUUGUCAUGUCAGACGGCUCGUUCUACAAACCUUCGGACCCUAUUUGCACCUCGCCGCCCCGGCUCCCCACGUUGCCCAGCAACACAAGAUGCAUUGGCUCCACCGACGAUUGGCUCGCCCUCGACUUCAUCGACGCCAAGAAGAUGCAUAGCUACUCCUUGCACAAUCCGUUCACUGGCAUCACUGUGUCGCUUCUCGAGUUGGAUGCUGUCAUUGGCCAAGUUUCUGAGCUUUUCGAGGUCCGUAAAGUGCUCAUGCGAUCAACGCCUUUGGACAUCGUCGCUGUCAUGACCAACAACUGGAAUCACCCCCUCAUCUUAAUCCGUCCAGGAAAAGGUGUGUGGUUGCCUGAGCCACAAAGUGCUCCUUUCGUGGACAUCGUUGACAUUGCUUUUCUUGGCGAUAAAUUAUAUGGAAUCACCGAGGCGGAGGACCUUGUUUCUCUCGGUAUAGAAUUUAAUAGUGAUGGCAUGCCCACCAUUACUAGCACUGAGUGCCUCAUUAGGCACCCAUCGGGAAAUUCAAGUCGCAGUGUGUGGCGCGAAGUUUACGAUAACUUUGAUUCCAGCAACAAUGAUAAGGGCGGUAAGGAUGAGGUCACAAAUAGUUUUGAGGACCAUACCGAGGCAGUGAGCGAGGACUCUGAGGAGCGGGCCUUAGAUGAACUUCGGAAUAAAACUGGCGAUGGCAUGAUUCUCGAGGGUGCUACAUGGUUAGAUGAUGAGGUUCAACAUGAACCCAAGGAUAUCAUCACCGUCAUUCGAUACCUGAUUGAGUCACAUGGGAAACUGCUCAUGGUGAAGAGACAAUUGCAUUGGCCUCAAUAUAGUAUCAACUUCACUACCAAGGUGGAGGUUUACGAGAUGGAUGUCAACGAUGAAGUGCACUGGGUGCCGGUUUCAGGUGGGCUAGGCAGCAAAGCACUUUUCAUCAGCAGAUUUUUCUGCAAGUCCAUUCAUACUUGUGAAGACGGAGACCAUGAUGCUCUUCAUUUUAUCGACAGUGGUGAAAAAUACGAUAUGAAAUCCCAAAUUAUGAGCCCGAGCUGGAGAGAUAUUGAUCUCUAUAGGUCCACGUGGAUAUUUUCUCGGGAGCUAGUGGUUUGA
rnacentral:rRNA from 1 species